AUUGAACGCUGGCGGCAGGCUUAACACAUGCAAGUCGAGCGAGCGGCGGACGGGUGAGUAAUGUCUGGGAAACUGCCUGAUGGAGGGGGAUAACUACUGGAAACGGUAGCUAAUACCGCAUACCAUCAGAUGUGCCCAGGUUGGAUUAGCUAGUAGGUGGGUUAAUGGCUCACCUAGGCGACGAUCCCUAGCCGGUCUGAGAGGAUGACCGGCCCCACGGGAACGGAGACACGGUCCAGACUCUUACGGGAGGCAGCAGGGGGGAAUAUUGGACAAUGGGCGCAAGCCGGAUGCAGCAAUGCCGCGUGUGUGAAGAAGGCCUUCGGGUUGUAAAGCACGUUCAGCGAGGAGGCGUUACUCGCAGAAGAAGCACCGGCUAACUCCGUGCCAGCAGCCGCGGUAAUUC
rnacentral:rRNA from 1 species